rnacentral:lncRNA from 13 species
CUGCACUGGCAACCCACGGAGGGCUACAUAUCAAAGACAGGUCUUAUCACAUCUUCAUUGCCAAGCUGGGCACCUGUUCUUUAAGGAUAGAAGAGCAACCCCUGAACUAAGGUAAAAUUUCAAAGAAUUUAUUAUCUAUUUCAAUUUAACCACAUUUUUUGAAUGCCUGCUAAAUGCUAACUACUGUAGCAGAAAUGGCAUAUAAGGCUGGGUGUGGUGGCUCACUCCUGUAAUCCCAGCACUUUGGGAGGCAGAGGAGGGUGGAUUGUUUGGGCUCAGGUAU